rnacentral:rRNA from 1 species
AAAGGAAUUGACGGGCACCCGCACAAGCGGUGGAGCAUGCUGUUUAAUUCGAUGCUACGCGAAGAACCUUACCUAGGCUUGACAUCCCUGGCAAAGCUAUAGAAAUAUAGUGGAGGCUAACCGGGUGACAGGUGGUGCAUGGUUGUCGUCAGCUCGUGUCGUGAGAUGUUCGGUUAAGUCCGAUAACGAGCGCAACCCUCAUCAUUAGUUGCUAACAUUUAGUUGAGGACUCUAAUGAGACUGCCGGUGACAAACCGGAGGAAGGUGGGGAUGACGUCAAAUCAUCAUGCCCCUUAUGUCUAGGGCUACAGGCGUGCUACAAUGGCCAUUACAAUGAGAAGCAAUAUCGUGAGGUGGAGCUAAUCUUUAAAGAUGGUCCCAGUUCGGAUUGGAGUCUGCAACUCGACUCCAUGAAGUUGGAAUCGCUAGUAAUCCUAAAUCAGAAUGUUAGGGUGAAUACGUUCCCGGGUGUUGUACACACCGCCCGU